rnacentral:tRNA from 1 species
UGAACCUCCCUCUUCUCAGAAG